rnacentral:rRNA from 1 species
AGAGUUUGAUCAUGGCUCAGGACGAACGCUGGCGGCGUGCGUAAUACAUGCAAGUCGAGCGAGCUUGCCUAGAUGAUUUUAGUGCUUGCACUAAAUGAAACUAGAUACAAGCGAGCGGCGGACGGGUGAGUAACACGUGGGUAACCUGCCCAAGAGACUGGGAUAACACCUGGAAACAGAUGCUAAUACCGGAUAACAACACUAGACGCAUGUCUAGAGUUUGAAAGAUGGUUCUGCUAUCACUCUUGGAUGGACCUGCGGUGCAUUAGCUAGUUGGUAAGGUAACGGCUUACCAAGGCAAUGAUGCAUAGCCGAGUUGAGAGACUGAUCGGCCACAUUGGGACUGAGACACGGCCCAAACUCCUACGGGAGGCAGCAGUAGGGAAUCUUCCACAAUGGACGAAAGUCUGAUGGAGCAACGCCGCGUGAGUGAAGAAGGGUUUCGGCUCGUAAAGCUCUGUUGGUAGUGAAGAAAGAUAGAGGUAGUAACUGGCUCUUUAUUUGACGGUAAUUACUUAGAAAGUCACGGCUAACUACGUGCCAGCAGCCGCGGUAAUACGUAGGUGGCAAGCGUUGUCCGGAUUUAUUGGGCGUAAAGCGAGUGCAGGCGGUUCAAUAAGUCUGAUGUGAAAGCCUUCGGCUCAACCGGAGAAUUGCAUCAGAAACUGUUGAACUUGAGUGCAGAAGAGGAGAGUGGAACUCCAUGUGUAGCGGUGGAAUGCGUAGAUAUAUGGAAGAACACCAGUGGCGAAGGCGGCUCUCUGGUCUGCAACUGACGCUGAGGCUCGAAAGCAUGGGUAGCGAACAGGAUUAGAUACCCUGGUAGUCCAUGCCGUAAACGAUGAGUGCUAAGUGUUGGGAGGUUUCCGCCUCUCAGUGCUGCAGCU